GUGCUCAUUUCAGUAGCACUAAAAUUUGAAUGACACAGAGAAAAUUAGCACAGCCCAUGCACAAUGAUGGCAUAAAAAUUUGUCAGUGUUCCCCGUUUUUU
rnacentral:snRNA from 2 species